rnacentral:rRNA from 1 species
GACGAACGCUGGCGGCGUGCUUAACACAUGCAAGUCGAACGGUAAGGCCCUUCGGGGUACACGAGUGGCGAACGGGUGAGUAACACGUGGGUGAUCUGCCCUGCACUUCGGGAUAAGCCUGGGAAACUGGGUCUAAUACCGGAUAGGACCCUGGGAUGCAUGUCCUGGGGUGGAAAGCUUUUGCGGGGUGGGAUGGGCCCGCGGCCUCUCAGCUUGUUGGUGGGGUGAUGGCCUACCAAGGCGACGACGGGUAGCCGGCCUGAGCGGGUGACCGGCCAAACUGGGACUGGGAUACGGCCCAGACUCCUACGGGAGGCAGCAGUGGGGAAUAAUGCACAAUGGGCGCAAGCCUGAUGCAGCGACGCCGCGUGAGGGAUGACGGCCUUCGGGUUGUAAACCUCUUUCAGCACCGACGAAGCGCAAGUGACGGUAGGUGCAGAGGAAGGACCGGCCAACUACGUGCCAGCCGCCGCCGUAA